rnacentral:snoRNA from 1 species
AGCCUUUGUGUUGCCCGUUCACUUUCAGAAACUAGUGAAUGUGGUAUCAAAAAAGGCGCAAAUUAACAAGC